CAGCCGCCGCGGGAAUACGUAGGUGGCAAGCGUUGUCCGGAAUUAUUGGGCGUAAAGGGCUCGCAGGCGGUUUCUUAAGUCUGAUGUGAAAGCCCCCGGCUCAACCGGGGAGGGUCAUUGGAAACUGGGAAACUUGAGUGCAGAAGAGGAGAGUGGAAUUCCACGUGUAGCGGUGAAAUGCGUUGAGAUGUGGAGGAACACCAGUGGCGAAGGCGACUCUCUGGUCUGUAACUGACGCUGAGGAGCGAAAGCGUGGGGAGCGAACAGGAUUAGAUACCCCAGUAGUCCCUGUCUCUUAUAC
rnacentral:rRNA from 1 species